AAUAAGUACAGUUUUGCAUGGUUUAUGUGAAACGUUUGACCAUUCGCUUUAUUUGAAUUUUUUUUAUGAUUAGUAUUUUUGUUAUUAUUAGAUGAUAAAACAUGAAUAGUACUUUAUGUGUGACUUUUUUUUCAUAAAUUUUUCAAAUAAGAUGGACAUCAAUCGCUGGACGCAGAUUCUUAUGGCUACACUUAUU
rnacentral:pre_miRNA from 1 species